UACGUAGGGUGCGAGCGUUGUCCGGAAUUAUUGGGCGUAAAGGGCUCGUAGGCGGUUUGUCGCGUCGGGAGUGAAAUCCACUGGCUUAACUGGUGGCUUGCCUUCGAUACGGGCAGACUGGAGGUAUGCAGGGGAGAACGGAAUUCCUGGUGUAGCGGUGAAAUGCGCAGAUAUCCGGAGGAACACCGGUGGCGAAGGCGGCUUCCUGGACCGACACUGACGCUGAGGCGCGAAAGCUAGGGGAGCAAACAGG
rnacentral:rRNA from 1 species